ACGGAGGGUGCAAGCGUUAUCCGGAUUUAUUGGGUUUAAAGGGUCCGUAGGCGGAUUAAUAAGUCAGUGGUGAAAGCCUAUCGCUUAACGAUAGAACUGCCAUUGAUACUGUUAGUCUUGAGUGAUGUUGAAGUGGCUGGAAUGUGUAGUGUAGCGGUGAAAUGCUUAGAUAUUACGCAGAACACCAAUUGCGAAGGCAGGUCACUAAGUAUCAACUGACGCUGAUGGACGAAAGCGUGGGGAGCGAACAG
rnacentral:rRNA from 1 species